AUCUAUAAAACAUUGGCCUGGCGGAGGCCGAUAUCAUUUGGUCAGUGCUCUGUUCUCCAGCUCAUCAGUCGUCGGCCCUGAGUUGGUUCACGACCGCGGGCCGAUGCCGCGCUUAUCUGUGUGCGCGUGCCCAGUAUUCGUCUCUUUUAGCCACCCAGAGAGAGAGAGAAGAGGAUAAUCCCAGCGACAUCUGUGGCUCUGAGGCUUCCAGAAAUAAUCCGGUGAAAUAAUAUGGGGCGUCGCACCCGUGGGGGAUGUGGGGGUUUUAACACCCACACUUUUCCCGACUUGACACUGGCUUUGAGUGUGAUCGGCUGAUGAUUGGCUGUUCUGCCUUAAGUCCCGCCUCUCUUGGGGUGUUAUCCGGU